rnacentral:rRNA from 1 species
AUUGAACGCUGGCGGCAGGCCUAACACAUGCAAGUCGAGCGGAUGAAGGGAGCUUGCUCCUGGAUUCAGCGGCGGACGGGUGAGUAAUGCCUAGGAAUCUGCCUGGUAGUGGGGGAUAACGUCCGGAAACGGGCGCCAAUACCGCAUACGUCCUGAGGGAGAAAGUGGGGGAUCUUCGGACCUCACGCUAUCAGAUGAGCCUAGGUCGGAUUAGCUAGUUGGUGGGGUAAAGGCCUACCAAGGCGACGAUCCGUAACUGGUCUGAGAGGAUGAUCAGUCACACUGGAACUGAGACACGGUCCAGACUCCUACGGGAGGCAGCAGUGGGGAAUAUUGGACAAAGGGCGAAAGCCUGAUCCAGCCAUGCCGCGUGUGUGAAGAAGGUCUUCGGAUUGUAAAGCACUUUAAGUUGGGAGGAAGAGCAGUAAGUUAAUACCUUGCUGUUUUGACGUUACCAACAGAAUAAGCACCGGCUAACUUCGUG